UUCCUGGUGGUUCAGAGGUGAGGACUCUGAGUUUCCACUGCAGAGGGCACAGGUUCAAUCCCUGGUCAGAAAC
rnacentral:tRNA from 1 species